AAAAUACGGGAGGCAGCAGUGGGGAAUAUUGCACAAUGGGCGCAAGCCUGAUGCAGCGACGCCGCGUGAGGGAUGGAGGCCUUCGGGUUGUGAACCUCUUUCGCCAGUGAAGCAGGCCUGCCUCGUUUGUGGGUGGGUUGACGGUAGCUGGAUAAGAAGCGCCGGCUAACUACGUGCCAGCAGCCGCGGUAAUUUU
rnacentral:rRNA from 1 species